AGAAAACCGAGUUUUAGAGGCGCGCAGUACGUGACGCUCGCGAACUGCGCGGGGUGCGAGCUCCACGCGUUGUCGGUGACCUGGCUCUCCGCUCUCGCAUCAUCGUUCUACCACGGUGCUCUCUAAUGGGCAGCUUCCGGUUUAGGGAAUCAUGGCAGAUACUGCGAGUUUCCAGCGUCCUCUUCCCUCGCGGACCCCUCGCCCUGGACAGCUCGCCUCAACCUCGUCCUCUCCGUGCCACCGCCGUCACCUCAACUUUUCACCUUUUUUUUGUUAUCUAGCAAUUCCGCAAGAAAAGCCUGCGACGACUGUCGCACUGAGUUGUCGCCAGAUUUCCUGUUUUUCCUAUACAAAAAUUCAUCGGAGCCGAGGAAAACGCCCGGUGCUCAGCCUCCGAGAGAAUCCGGCGUGCCCACCAUCCCAAAUUUCCUCCGAAGCUUCCUCAGAAGAAGCCAAGACGAAGCGGAGGAACAACAUUCGCAUCGCCAUAAGUUAAAUCAACUUACGAGCACGCAGGAGCGUGACAGUCGCAAUUUGUCGUCUAUUGAGUUAUCUCCUAAUCGUGGGUCAUUGAAUCGACCGCGGUGGAUGGGUCUGAGAGUGGCGUGCAUGCGAGGAAGAUCCACGCGAGCAAAACACCGUGCACGCACUCGUAGUCGUAUCAGCUGUACACACAUUGCGAUAUUUGAACGCGUAAUUCGUGCAAACAAUGAGCUUCGAGCAGACCGAUGAGCGGGAAGCUCCAAAAAUUGAGUUAUGACAAUCGAAAUGACGCAACGAGGAAUAACACGUUUCCUGAUUCUAUUUGUCAGGCGCGAAGAAAAAAGGGGGGAGUCGACACUGUGACACAGAAGUGAUCAGUCGCGGCAGCUGAUCGAUCAUUCAAUCGCUGAGUAAACCAAGCGAGAGGCUCUUCCCUGCUAACCAUUGUUAAGAGACUUUGCUUUUGAAUUUAAUAAAAAAUCGAUAAUUCCCCUUUAUUUAAUUCGAUGAAAAAUACCGAUGGGAAUACGCGCUCGGGGAGCGUUUCGUUCGCCUUAUUCCGUCGAUAUGCAGCAGGCCAAGGUGCAGAAAAAACUCCAUUUCCCUUCAAUCAUAAAUCAUGAUAUAUAAACUCCUGCUUUGCUCGUCCCCAGCUCAAAAGCACUUUCAAUUGUAUCAAAGAAAAUGAGUAGUAAAGGAAAAAUGAGGAGGGAAUAAAUAUAAAACGGACUCCGCUCGGAUUGCCAUGAAAGCUUCGACCCCGUGCUUUUGAGGGAUUCGAGAGAGGAGCAAAAGAAAAUAGACGGAUGGGAGAAUAACUGCAGGAAGGAUGCACGUCCACUUUUCACGAUACGAACAGGCUAUCGAUCUUUGUUCAAUACUUCAAAAGCAGAAUGGAGUCUAUCUAUCCAACAGAUAUCACGUUCCUCGCGCACCGAACACGAAAAUCUAUAGAAAAGCUCCGAGCACCACUUCAAUGGAGCGGAUACGUACGCGGAGCAGAAACAAAUAUAUGCAAAAAGCGACGACGCCAUUCAAUGAGAGUUCCAAAACCUUCAGCUCUCGACAGAGUUCCAAAAUCUCAUGAAUCUGGAAUUCAACGUCACAAAACUUUGAGCUGUAGACAAAUUCGGAAUCUCGUUGCGCAUUAAGAUGCAUAAUCUUGUGGGAAAAUGCCUCGAACAUCCUAUUAUGAGAUCCAUCAACACUUCGAGAAGAAAUGAUGCGGGCUGCUUUGUUUCAUAGUGCUUCGGAAAACGUGAUUUUUGGUGUCGUAAUUUUUGAAAAAAA